GCGGCCGUGGCGGAACUGGCCUACGCGCAACACUUAGGAUGUUGUGGGAGAAAUCCCUUGAGGGUUCGAGUCCCUCCGGCCGCAC
rnacentral:tRNA from 2 species